AUUUGCCAAUUGAAAAAUAAACAAAUAAGAAAGAGGAUGCAGGCGACCCAAGUCCUUGUGGGACUGGGAGUGCGUGUUGUCUAAUCUCUCUCACUCUCUCUCUCUCUUUCUCUCCCCCCUUCCCCUCCCCCCAAGGUGGCCUUAAUAGCAAACUGGAAAGCCGUUUUAUUUCAUAGGAACAUAUUACAACCAACAAGGAAAGGAGAUAAGGGAAUGCGCCUGUAGCUCCAGAUCAAAUCGCUGGCUCUCCCCUCUCCCCGGGUCACCAGGAUCCACACAGUCCUUGAAGAUGAGGAGCGCUGGAAGAUUGUGGCCUGGCCACCCCUUACGUCAUGAAAGUGAUUUGUACCACAUUGCUAAUUUGGUGCAAUUCAUAACCUUCUGAUCUCCUAUGUUUGCAACUGCUUUUCAGUUCGGAGGAUAUGUUUUUGGGGAUGUAGUUCCCGAGUGUAGGAAUUAAGACUGAUCACCUAUGUGCAGGAAAGGAUCUUAUUUCCCAAUGUUUGUUGCU
rnacentral:lncRNA from 1 species